UUUUGGCGAAGGCGACGGCAGCCGGAAGUGAGUUCAACUUCCGGUCAAGGUUGCCGGGUGAAAUGACUUGCCGUCGUUGCUUCGCGCCGACGUGAGUUUAGCUAUUUUGACGUUGUGUCGAAAACGCCGCACAUGGAAGCGUCAUCAAAGAAACAGCAAGCCAUGGAGUGGACCGACGACCACGACAAUUUGCUACUCCGAGAAAUGGCUGUUAGUGAGCUUUUCAGCUACAAAAAAGGGAGUCUUG